rnacentral:rRNA from 1 species
GACGAACGCUGGCGGCGUGCCUAAUACAUGCAAGUCGAGCGCGGACGGCUGGUACUUGUACCCACUGGAUGAGCAGCGAACGGGUGAGUAACGCAUGUGGAAUCUGCCUUUGAGCGGGGGACAACAUUUGGAAACGAAUGCUAAUACCGCAUAAAAUCUUUAAACACAAUUUUUAAGUUUUAAAGAUGCAAUUGCAUCACUCAAAGAUGAACCAGCGUUGUAUUAGCUAGUUGGUGGGGUAAAGGCUAACCAAGGCGAUGAUACAUAACCGACCUGAGAGGGGGAGCGGCCAAGCUGGGAUGGGGACACGACCCGAAAUCCUGCGAGAGGGAGCAGUAGCGGAUCUUCGGGGAAGGAAGAAAGUCUGAACGAGCGACGCCGCGCGAGAGAAGGAGGCUGUCGGAUCGUGAAACUCUGUUGGGAGAGAAGAACGUUGGGGAGAGUGAAAAGCUCAGCAAGUGACGGUAACUACACAGAAAGCGACGGCUAACUACGUG